ensembl:snoRNA Gm24958 small nucleolar RNA SNORD125
AACCUUGGUAGCCCCUCUUGAUGAUUCCUCUUCCUGAGCGGCUCUAGUGAUGAGCAAACUGAGCCUCUAAGAAGUUGACUGAAGGGGUGGCUUCCUC